rfam:Candidatus Portnoybacteria bacterium RIFCSPHIGHO2_01_FTLL_40_12b rifcsphigho2_01_scaffold_3490, whole genome shotgun sequence.
GCGCCCAUAGCUCAAUCGGCAGAGCAGUUGCCUCUUAAGCAAUUGGUUUCAGGUUCGAGUCCUGAUGGGCGCA